CAGUUCAACCACCAUACAUUGCCGGUCACUCCCUUUAGUGCACAAACCCCUGUUGGGCGGUUGGCUCAGUUCAAAUAUUGAGAGAGCCUAAUAAACAUGCAAUAAUAUAGAAAAUGUUGAGAUAUAUUUAUCUGAUUGUGAUGUUGGGAACAAGGAACACUACAAUAAAUAUGCUUGACAAAAAAUCUAAAGUGAUUUUCUAAAUAAAAUGCUAGCACACAAUUUGUGGCUUAAAAAAUAAGGCCAAACAUUAUAAGCUGGACGGCUGAGAUAGUCUCAAGUCAAACCUAACUGUCUAAAUUAGACUCGACUCUGAGAUCAUCUAUCGACAGUUUGUGUCACAUAAUCGCAGCUGCUAGCCCUGAAUGCACAACAUAAAACGUUUGGCCAAAGUUAGAUUAAACAUGAUUAAAGACUGCAAAUAAAUUUUUAGAAAAUUAGUUUUUUACGUUUUUUUAAUGAUUUACAGUGAAUUAUAUUUUUAUUGAUGUUCAGUUGUAGUUUUGCCCGGCCUACACAAGAAAGAGACUCAUACAAUGGCUGCCACUGUAUGUCCGAGAUACAUAAAUCCUUUUCUUUGGUUUGCACACAUUUACUCCACGUUUCUCCCUGUAUGUAUAAAAUGCCUUUUUUUUG